CAAGUCGAGUGCGCGUGCCGUAGCAAUACGGUAUGGCGCACGGCGCACGGGUGCGUAACACGUGGGCAAUCUGCCCUCCGAUGGGGAAUAACUCCGGGAAACCGAAGCUAAUUCCGCAUAACAUUCCUUGGACUCCGGUCCGGGGAUUCAAAGCAGCAAUGCGUCGGAGGAGGAGCCCGCGCCCGAUUAGCUAGUUGGUGAGGUAACGGCUCACCAAGGCUAUGAUCGGUAGCUGGUCUGAGAGGAUGGCCAGCCACACUGGAACUGAGACACGGUCCAGACUCCUACGGGAGGCAGCAGCGGGGAAUCUUGCGCAAUGGGCGAAAGCCUGACGCAGCGACGCCGCGUGGGGGAUGAAGCUUCUCGGAGCGUAAACCCCUUUCGACCGGGACGAAUGCCCGCAAGGGAGUGACGGUACCGGUAGAAGAAGCCCCGGCUAACUACGUGCCAGCAGCCGCGGUAAGACGUAGGGGGCCAGCGUUGUUCGGAAUUACUGGGUGUAAAGGGUUCGUAGGCGGUGUGGCAAGUCGGGAGUGAAAUUUCUGGGCUUAACUCAGAACCUGCUUCCGAAACUGCUGUGCUGGAGUGUGGGAGAGGCGCGUGGAAUUGCAGGUGUAGCGGUGAAAUGCGUAGAUAUCUGCAGGAACACCCGUGGCGAAAGCGGCGCGCUGGACCACUACUGACGCUGAGGAACGAAAGCUAGGGGAGCAAACAGGAUUAGAUACCCUGGUAGUCCUAGCCCUAAACGAUCAGGACUUGGGGUGCCACCCGUUCGGGUGUCGUCCCGGAGCUAACGCGUUAAGUCCUGCACCUGGGGAGUACGGUCGCAAGAACUGAAACUCAAAGGAAUUGACGGGGGCCCGCAGAAGC
rnacentral:rRNA from 1 species